rnacentral:rRNA from 1 species
AACCAAUUCCAACAUUAUUAAAGAACCCUUAAGUAAUACUGAGUAAUUCUAUAUAAAUAUAGAAGAUUUUAUGUUAAAACUAGUAACAAGAAGAAGAACUUCUCCUACAAUGCAUAUGUAAAUCAGAUAGGACACCCCGCUGAUAAUUAACACCAAUGAACACAAAAUAGCAACCACACAAGAAAACCCUACUAUAUUAUGUGUUAAUCUAACACCAGAGCAUUUCAAGAAAGAUUAAAAGAAAAAGAAGGAACUCGGCAAAUAUUAACCUCGCCUGUUUACCAAAAACAUCGCCUCUUGAAUAAAUAUAAGAGGUCCAGCCUGCCCAGUGACCAUGUUCAACGGCCGCGGUAUCCUAACCGUGCGAAGGUAGCGUAAUCACUUGUUCUUUAAAUAAGGACUAGUAUGAACGGCACCACGAAGGUUAUACUGUCUCCUCUUUCUAAUCAGUGAAACUAAUCUCCCCGUGAAGAAGCGGGAAUAAGAAUAUAAGACGAGAAGACCCUAUGGAGCUUUAAACUAUAAAGCAAUUGCCCCAAUAUAAUUAAAUUUCAGAAAACCACUACUACCAAGGCAAUAUGACUCUUAGUUUUAGGUUGGGGUGACCGCGGAGCAAAAAAUAACCUCCACAUUGAAAGGAGUUCAACUCCUUAGCCAAGAGCUACACCUCUACGCACCAACAAAAAGACAUUAAUUGACCCAAUAUUUUGAUCAACGAACCAAGUUACCCUAGGGAUAACAGCGCAAUCCACUUCAAGAGCUCCUAUCGACAAGUGGGUUUACGACCUCGAUGUUGGAUCAGGGUAUCCCGGUGGUGCAGCCGCUACCAAAGGUUCGUUU